AUAUCUCUCUGUACGGGAAGGAUGAGAAGCUUCGACUAAGGUUCGAUUCGAGCGCAGCGAGAAAGCGUUGCCGUAGGCAACGACCCGAAGG
rnacentral:sRNA from 1 species